UGUGAACGCUGGCGGUAGGCCUAACACAUGCAAGUCGAACGGCAGCACAGUAAGAGCUUGCUCUUACGGGUGGCGAGUGGCGGACGGGUGAGGAAUACAUCGGAAUCUACUUUUUCGUGGGGGAUAACGUAGGGAAACUUACGCUAAUACCGCAUACGACCUACGGGUGAAAGCAGGGGAUCUUCGGACCUUGCGCGAUUGAAUGAGCCGAUGUCGGAUUAGCUAGUUGGCGGGGUAAAGGCCCACCAAGGCGACGAUCCGUAGCUGGUCUGAGAGGAUGGUCGGCCACACGGGAACUGAGACACGGUCCAGACUCCUACGGGAGGCAGCAGUGGGGAAUAUUGGACAAUGGGCGCAAGCCUGAUCCAGCCAUACCGCGUGGGUGAAGAAGGCCUUCGGGUUGUAAAGCCCUUUUGUUGGGAAAGAAAAGCAGCAGGUUAAUACCCCGCUGUUCUGACGGUACCCAAAGAAUAAGCACCGGCUAACUUCGUG
rnacentral:rRNA from 1 species